UGGGGAAUAUUGGACAAUGGGCGAAAGCCUGAUCCAGCCAUGCCGCGUGUGUGAAGAAGGUCUUCGGAUUGUAAAGCACUUUAUGUUGGGAGGAAGGGCAGUAAGCGAAUACCUUGCUGUUUUGACGUUACCGACAGAAUAAGCACCGGCUAACUCUGUGCCAGCAGCCGCGGUAAUACAGAGGGUGCAAGCGUUAAUCGGAAUUACUGGGCGUAAAGCGCGCGUAGGUGGUUCGUUAAGUUGAAUGUGAAAGCCCCGGGCUCAACCUGGGAACUGCAUCCGAAACUGGCGAGCUAGAGUAGGGCAGAGGGUGGUGGAAUUUCCUGUGUAGCGGUGAAAUGCGUAGAUAUAGGAAGGAACACCAGUGGCGAAGGCGACCACCUGGGCUCAUACUGACACUGAGGUGCGAAAGCGUGGGGAGCAAACAGG
rnacentral:rRNA from 1 species